ensembl:lncRNA
UGGUUGUCAUGAUUUCCUAAAGAAAUCUGUCAUAUAAUACAUGAAGGGCCAAACCCUUCAAUUCAACACUCAAAUCCUGAAAGGCAGGACACGGCAUGCUAUCUCUGAAUGGAUAAUAAGGUAAACAUUCAGCACUUGGACGGGCAUAUAAAGCGUGCUCACUUUUAACCUUCUGUUUAGAGCAUUUUCAUAAUGCCAACUCAGAAAUGGCACGGUUUUAAGCUCUUCUCAUCAGCCAGUUUGUUCUUACGCGUUUUCUGAACACUCUGCAUUUCAUUCUAACAAAGUUUUGUUUUAUGAUGCCAAUCAAAGUUUCCCGGUAGAUCAUAGUCACAAACAUUUCAACCAUUACAAACAGUUUAAGCCUUCAGAAUAUGCUAGGAAACUAUUAAAUGCUUAAACUGUCUAAAUAGACACCAUACUGAAGUGUGCAUUAAUGUUUGCAGGACAGCAAGCAGAUGCCGUGAAGCCUCGGCCCGUGAAGUACAGCGAGUAUGCGGUGUUCUUCAGCUGUGACAUUGUGAUCCCGUCGUUCCGUAGUGAAGUCCGAUCUCCUGCUCCUGCAUUUGGAUAUAUGUGUUUGCAAACCUGGCGGCAUUUCAUCUGCUUCUGCUGAUGUGGCAUCCAGUCGUAAUUGUUUGUAAAUGCUUGGACACGUGUGAUAUUGGUGGUCACAAAUAGUGGGUCAUGACAUAAAAAUGGCACUACAGGUUAAGGUAUAUAAUGAAAUGCAUCUAACCAUAUAAAUGUGCAUUGAUGUGUUAGAAAUACACAGCUUUUAAAACACAGGGGAAAACACUAUUCUGAAUUUUAUUGCAUCUAAACUUUAUUUUGAUGACAAAUGGUACUGGACAAGUUACAAGCUAAAGUUUAAUGCACUGUAAAAAAAAA